UGACCUCGGAUCAGGUAGAGCCCACUCCU
rnacentral:rRNA from 1 species